ensembl:lncRNA
UUUCUUGAAUAAUUACCUCCAUCAUAGCUGCUGUGAUCCACAGUGCCCCGGACUCACAAUCCUACUGCUGAAGUCUCUUAAAACAGAGAGACUCAGGAUGGUCUUCACCUGGCCUGUGGGCCAGAGAUUAUAGGCAGAGAGAUGGGGCGAAGAGAUGACAUUAUACCGAGGGAGAAUUUCAGUCCAUUCAUCUCUGCACCACGACUGCUGAUGGGACUCUGGCGCAAGAGCCUGCUUGCGGCGAUGCAAGCCUGUUGCAGUGCCUUCUGGGUUUGCCUUCUCAGCAUGGGAUAA